AACUGAUACUACCUGCGGGAACCUGCGGAAGGAUCAUUACCGAGUUUACAACUCCCAAGCCCAAUGUGAACGUUACCAAACUGUUGCCUCGGCGGGAUCUCUGCCCCGGGUGCGUCGCAGCCCCGGACCAAGGCGCCCGCCGGAGGACCAACCAAAACUCUUUUGUAUACCCCCUCGCGGGUUUUUUAUAUCUGAGCCAUCUCGGCGCCUCUCGUAGGCGUUUCGAAAAUGAAUCAAAAC
rnacentral:misc_RNA from 1 species